CCCGGCGACCGGCGCACGGGUGAGUAACACGUAUGAAACCUGCCCGUAGCAGGGGGAUAAGCGGAAGAAAUUCCGUCUAAUACCGCGUAACAACCCAUGGAGGCAUCUCUGUGGGUUUAAAGGAAGCGAUUCCGGCUACGGAUGGUCAUGCGUCGCAUUAGCUUGUUGGCGGGGUAACGGCCCACCAAGGCGACGAUGCGUAGGGGUUCUGAGAGGAAGGUCCCCCACACUGGUACUGAGACACGGACCAGACUCCUACGGAAGGCAGCAG
rnacentral:rRNA from 1 species